rnacentral:lncRNA from 1 species
UUCAAUGGAGGCUGGAUCUUUGAGCUUCAAUGAGGUCCUUUAAUGGUGAUUUUCCACCAUGGAGAUGCAGCGGAAGACAAAGGAGAAGAGGUGAGAGGAGGCACCAUCCACUAGGGAAUAGCCAUGGAAGAAGGAGCUUCACCACAAAGAUGGGCCUUGGAUAAGAAGCUUGGAGAAGAUGCUUCAAGGGAGGAAAAGAAAGAGGGAGAGAAAGAGAGAGGGGGGAGCACGAAAUUUAAGGAAUAAAAAGGGACAGAAG